UACGUAGGGGGCUAGCGUUGUCCGGAAUCAUUGGGCGUAAAGAGCGUGUAGGCGGCCCGGUAAGUCCGCUGUGAAAGUCGGGGGCUCAACCCUCGAAUGCCGGUGGAUACUGUCGGGCUAGAGUGCGGAAGAGGCGAGUGGAAUUCCUGGUGUAGCGGUGAAAUGCGCAGAUAUCAGGAAGAACACCCGUGGCUAAGGCGGCUCUCUAGUACGGUACUGGACGCUGAGACGCGAAGCCAGGUACGG
rnacentral:rRNA from 1 species